GUCAAAACUCAAAAACAUUUCUUUAUUCUCUCUCUCUUCUUUUUCUCUCUCUCUUCUUUUUCUCUCUCCUCACGCGUCACUUUUCGAAGGUCGGUAGGAAAAAAAACCCAUAAUCAUACCAACCCCACCUUUGUCUCCUUCCUCUUUUACUAUAUAUCUCCCUUCCCCAACCAAACCAUUUUCCUCAAUUCAUCCUAUCUUUGUUUCUAUUCUUCUUGUUUCCAAGUUUUUCUAUCAACACCCCCUUCUUCUCUUCCUUGUCUUCUCGGAGGAAGAAGAAGAAACAAAACAGAGGAGAAAAUAAUAUAA